GACAGAGGGUGCAAACGUUGCUCGGAAUUACUGGGCGUAAAGCGCGUGUAGGCGGACGUGUAAGUCAGGUGUGAAAUCCCCGGGCUCAACCCGGGAACUGCACUUGAAACUGCGCGUCUUGAGUACUGGAGAGGGUAGUGGAAUUCCUGGUGUAGAGGUGAAAUUCGUAGAUAUCAGGAGGAACACCGGUGGCGAAGGCGGCUACCUGGACAGUCACUGACGCUGAGACGCGAAAGCGUGGGGAGCAAACAGG
rnacentral:rRNA from 1 species